rnacentral:rRNA from 1 species
AAUGAACGCUGGCGGCGCGCCUAAUACAUGCAAGUCGAGCGAGAAGACGUAGCAAUACGUUUGUAAAGCGGCGAACGGGUGAGGAAUACAUGGGUAACCUACCCUCGAGUGGGGAAUAACUAGCCGAAAGGUUAGCUAAUACCGCGUACGCUUCUUGGACUUCGGUUCAGGGAGGAAAGCGAUGCCGAGGGUAUCGCGCUCUUGGAUGGGCUCAUGUCCUAUCAGCUUGUUGGNGAGGUAACGGCUCACCAAGGCUUCGACGGGUAGCUGGUCUGAGAGGACGAUCAG